rnacentral:misc_RNA from 1 species
AUCACUUUCAGUCACUUCGCAUAGAAGUUUCAAGUGUCAAGGACAUGCUUCUUCAUCUUGAGAAACGAUUGUUUUCUUGUGAGGCAGAGACAUUGGCACUCAAAACUCGCGUAGAUGAAAUUUCUAAGGAUAUGUUAGAGUCAAAGAGAAGUAUGGAGGCUGCAUCUGAGAAGAUGGAAGAAGCUUUAGAACUGGAACGGCAGAGAGACACUGUGAUUGGUGAGGCAAAGGCAGCAUUGGAGACUGCAAGGUUUUGGCUGGAACAGUGAUAUAGUAAGUAAUGAUUCAGUAUCUGGUUAUCUAAACUAUUUAUGUAAAAUAAGUCUGUAUGUCAACUAUAUGCAGAAUAUGUUUAGAUGUUAUGUAAAUUAUGUAGUGUUGUGAAUUGCAGGAUUUAUGCAUACCAUAAUCUUCC